rnacentral:rRNA from 1 species
CAGCAGCCGCGGGAAUACGUAGGUGGCAAGCGUUGUCCGGAAUUAUUGGGCGUAAAGGGCUCGAAGGCGGUUUCUUAAGUCUGAUGUGAAAGCCCCCGGCUCAACCGGGGAGGGUCAUUGGAAACUGGGAAACUUGAGUGCAGAAGAGGAGAGUGGAAUUCCACGUGUAGCGGUGAAAUGCGUAGAGAUGUGGAGGAACACCAGUGGCGAAGGCGACUCUCUGGUCUGUAACUGACGCUGAGGAGCGAAAGCGUGGGGAGCGAACAGGAUUAGAUACCCGCGUAGUCCCUGUCUCUUAUAC